rnacentral:rRNA from 1 species
AACGUAGGAGGCAAGCGUUAUCCGGAUUUACUGGGCGUAAAGCGCGUGCAGGCGGUUUGUUAAGUUGGAUGUGAAAGCUCCUGGCUCAACUGGGAGAGGUCGUUCAAAACUGGCAAACUUGAGGGCGGUAGAGGGAGGUGGAAUUCCGUGUGUAGUGGUGAAAUGCGUAGAUAUACGGAGGAACACCAGUGGCGAAAGCGGCCUCCUGGACCGAUCCUGACGCUCAGACGCGAAAGCUAGGGGAGCAAACGGGAUUAGAGACCCCGGUAGUCCUAGCCGUAAACGAUGUGAACUUGGCGUCGGUGGGUUUAAAUCCAUCGGUGCCGUAGCUAACGCGAUAAGUUCACCGCCUGGGGACUACGGCCGCAAGGUUAAA